GGCGAACGGGUGCGUAACGCGUAUGCAACUUACCUUAUGCAGGGGGAUAGCCCGUGGAAACGCGGAUUAAUAUCCCAUAGAUCAGUAAUAUCGCAUGGUAUAACUGGUAAAACUCAGGUGGCAUAAGAUGGGCAUGCGUCUGAUUAGCUAGUUGGUAGGGUAACGGCCUACCAAGGCGACGAUCAGUAGGGGUUCUGAGAGGAUUAACCCCCACACUGGUACUGAGACACGGACCAGACUCCUACGGGAGGCAGCAGUGAGGAAUAUUGGUCAAUGGGCGCAAGCCUGAACCAGCCAUCCCGCGUGAAGGAAGAAGGCCCUACGGGUUGUAAACUUCUUUUCUGUUUGAAGAAUAAGCUCGUCGAGACGAGUGAUGCCGGUAGGACAGGAAUAAGCAUCGGCUAACUCCGUGCCAGCAGCCGCGGUAAUACGGAGGAUGCAAGCGUUAUCCGGAUUUAUUGGGUUUAAAGGGUGCGCAGGUGGUUUAAUAAGUC
rnacentral:rRNA from 1 species